rnacentral:rRNA from 1 species
AUUGAACGCUGGCGGCAGGCCUAACACAUGCAAGUCGAACGGUAACACGAAAAAGCUUGCUCCACCGGAAAAAGAGGAGUGGCGAACGGGUGAGUAACACGUGGGUAACCUGCCCAUCAGAAGGGGAUAACACUUGGAAACAGGUGCUAAUACCGUAUAACAAUCGAAACCGCAUGGUUUUGAUUUGAAAGGCGCUUUCGGGUGUCGCUGAUGGAUGGACCCGCGGUGCAUUAGCUAGUUGGUGAGGUAACGGCUCACCAAGGCCACGAUGCAUAGCCGACCUGAGAGGGUGAUCGGCCACAUUGGGACUGAGACACGGCCCAAACUCCUACGGGAGGCAGCAGUAGGGAAUCUUCGGCAAUGGACGAAAGUCUGACCGAGCAACGCCGCGUGAGUGAAGAAGGUUUUCGGAUCGUAAAACUCUGUUGUUAGAGAAGAACAAGGAUGAGAGUAACUGUUCAUCCCUUGACGGUAUCUAACCAGAAAGCCACGGCUAACUACGUGCCAGCAGCCGCAGUAACAC